UAGAGAGAAUGAUAGAGAAGAAGAGAGAGAAACUAAGAGCGUAAAGUAGGGCUGACCAAGCGACAGUGUCCAAUAGCCCAAAUUAGUCCAAUCAAAACAACUUCAUUAGUACAAGUGGCUCUAUAGCAAUCGAGGAUGGCCAAAAUCUAAUAGUUUGGCAAGGGACAGGGUGGAGGAAUGGCAUCCUGCUUGAUGACUAUAUGUCAGGACCAUUAACUAAAGUCGACCAAGAUCAUUAAGGAGAGCUCUUUGCUAGAUUCAACAAAUACUAGAGACA
rnacentral:lncRNA from 1 species